rnacentral:rRNA from 1 species
CCGGGCUCAACCUGGGAACGGCAUCCGGAACUGUCAGGCUAGAGUGCAGGAGAGGAAGGUAGAAUUCCCGGUGUAGCGGUGAAAUGCGUAGAGAUCGGGAGGAAUACCAGUGGCGAAGGCGGCCUUCUGGACUGACACUGACACUGAGGUGCGAAAGCGUGGGUAGCAAACAGGAUUAGAUACCCUGGUAGUCCACGCCGUAAACGAUGUCGACCAGCCGUUGGGUGCCUAGCGCACUUUGUGGCGAAGUUAACGCGAUAAGUCGACCGCCUGGGGAGUACGGCCGCAAGGUUAAAACUCAAAUGAAUUGACGGGGGCCCGCACAAGCGGUGGAGCAUGUGGUUUAAUUCGAUGCAACGCGAAGAACCUUACCUACUCUUGACAUCCUGCGAACUUGUGAGAGAUCACUUGGUGCCUUCGGGAGCGCAGAGACAGGUGCUGCAUGGCUGUCGUCAGCUCGUGUUGUGAAAUGUUGGGUUAAGUCCCGUAACGAGCGCAACCCUUGUCCUUAUUUGCCAGCGGGUAAUGCCGGGAACUCUAAGGAGACUGCCGGUGACAAACCGGAGGAAGGUGGGGACGACGUCAAGUCAUCAUGGCCCUUACGAGUAGGGCUACACACGUGCUACAAUGGCCGGUACAAAGGGUUGCGAGCUCGCGAGAGUCAGCUAAUCCCGAAAAGCCGGUCUCAGUCCGGAUCGGAGUCUGCAACUCGACUCCGUGAAGUCGGAAUCGCUAGUAAUCGUGAAUCAGAAUGUCACGGUGAAUACGUUCCCGGGCCUUGCACACACCGCCCGU